rnacentral:rRNA from 1 species
GUGACAGCCGCCGCGGUAAUACGGGGGGGGCUAUCGUUGUUCGGAAUUACUGGGCGUAAAGGGCUCGUAGGUGGCCAACUAAGUCAGACGUGAAAUCCCUCGGCUUAACCGGGGAACUGCGUCUGAUACUGAUUGGCUUGAAUCCGGGAGAGGGAUGCGGAAUUCCAGGUGUAGCGGUGAAAUGCGUAGAUAUCUGGAGGAACACCGGUGGCGAAGGCGGCAUCCUGGACCGGUAUUGACACUGAGGAGCGAAAGCCAGGGGAGCAAACGGGAUUAGAUACCCUUGUAGUCC